rnacentral:misc_RNA from 1 species
GUCGUAACAAGGUUUCCGUAGGUGAACCUGCGGAAGGAUCAUUACCACAACACAACAUCGUGCACAUGUUCGAGCAAGGCCUCGAACAAGUGCAGUUGUUCAUUCCAUGGUGACUGUGAGCACUUGCUUGAACGCCUGGGUUUCGGUCCAGGCUGUACGUAGCAAGUGUUCUCUUAGACCUUUAGCACGCAUGGGAACGCGGUAGUUCCUGUAGCGGUCAACAGACCCUUCGAGGUCUGGUUUGGCGAACGAACCCUUUUUUUUCUUACCCAAACAUUCAACCCAUAUCUGAAAUAUAAAGGCUCUGGGGGUGAGAGCCCCUAGUGCCUAAACACUGUUGUAAUAACUGUACAACUUUCAGCAACGGAUAUCUUGGCUCCCA